AUACGAAGGGACCUAGCGUAGUUCGGAAUUACCGGGCUUAAAGAGUUCGUAGGUGGUUGAAAAAGUUGGUGGUGAAAUCCCAGAGCUUAACUCUGGAACUGCCAUCAAAACUUUUCAGCUAGAGUUUGAUAGAGGAAAGCAGAAUUUCUAGUGUAGAGGUGAAAUUCGUAGAUAUUAGAAAGAAUACCAAUUGCGAAGGCAGCUUUCUGGAUCAUUACUGACACUGAGGAACGAAAGCAUGGGUAGCGAAGAGGAUUAGAAACCCUAGUAGUCC
rnacentral:rRNA from 1 species